AAGCGAUUAUUAUAAUAGAUUAUAUUUUAUUUACACUGAAAAGAUAGGAUAGCUAUCCUAUUGCUUA
rnacentral:tRNA from 1 species